rfam:Daphnia pulex DAPPTscaffold_135_Cont5468, whole genome shotgun sequence.
AUGCUUGUGAUGAAAAAAUUAUUGGCAGAUCAUAAUGUUGACCACCAAAUUACGAGCUUUUUAAUACUGAAUCCUG